rnacentral:rRNA from 1 species
AUUGAACGCUGGCGGCAUGCCUUACACAUGCAAGUCGAACGGCAGCACGGACUUCGGUCUGGUGGCGAGUGGCGAACGGGUGAGUAAAGUAUCGGAACGUACCUUUCAGUGGGGGAUAACGUAGCGAAAGUUACGCUAAUACCGCAUAUUCUGUGCGCAGGAAAGCAGGGGAUCGCAAGACCUUGCGCUGAUUGAGCGGCCGAUAUCAGAUUAGCUAGUUGGUGGGGUAAAGGCCUACCAAGGCGACGAUCUGUAGCGGGUCUGAGAGGAUGAUCCCCCACACUGGAACGGAGACACGGUCCAGACUCCUACGGGAGGCAGCAGUGGGGAAUUUUGGACAAUGGGGGCAACCCUGAUCCAGCCAUGCCGCGUGAGUGAAGAAGGCCUUCGGGUUGUAAAGCUCUUUCGGCCGGGAAGAAAUCGUAUGGGUUAAUACCCUGUGCGGAUGACGGUACCGGCAUAAGAAGCACCGGCUAACUACGUGCCAGCCGCCGCCGUAACAC